AGGAUCCCUAUAAGAGGUCCCCAAAAUCAAGGAUCUUCUUGAUCGAUACUUCCAUCACUGCAAAUACUUGUAUGACAACAACACUUUCAAGUGGAUCUAUUCUGGGCGGGAUUUUCAUGCCAAUCAAACGAGAUAUACGUCUCAAUGUCCAGCAUUAUGUAACCACCUACUAGCUUAUGUUUUUUCUUAGACUCGGGUGUAGAGUUUCACUCAAACAAAAAUAAAAACCCACAAUGGUAUAUAAA
rnacentral:lncRNA from 1 species